CAGGCAGCGCGCGCUGCACGGUGGGGGCGCCCUCGCCGCGGGGGUGGGGGGCGGGCCUGGAGAGAGCGUACCUCUGGGAGACACCCUCCUCUCCUACCCGCCACGCGCUCUCAGCCGGCCUACGGGACGCAGCCCUCCCCCCACCUCCCCUUCUCGGCCUUCGCAAGUGUGGGCGCCUCGGGGCACUGGCGAGUCUCUCCAGGUCUCUUUUACGUUGGUUAGUUUAGCAAACUGCCUCCAGCCUGGACUGCUGACCCGUGACCUCCCAUAACUCAAACCCAGGCUGACAUAUGUGGGCUUCGUUCCCUCACUUCUCAGUGUCUCCUCCUGAAAUCAAGACGCUUCCUCAGGUCCCAGCUUAAAUGUCGCCUCUUCAAUGGAGUUCUUCCUUGACUGCCUCACGUAAUAUGAAGCUAAGUUUGAAUGGUCCAUGCCUGAUCAUGACCAGUGUUCCCUGGCUCCUCCAAAUCAUCAAGUCUGUCCCAUGCUACACCACCAAGCACCACGGAGCAGCUUCCUCGGGAUACGGCCAGGUCUCCUUAAACCAGGUGGCCCACCACAGAUUGAAUCCACCCCCAAUGAGGUCUUCAACAGAGACUCAGCCAAGCUGAAAAUUGAUGGGAACCAAUGUUCGAUGGUCGAGGAGAUGACAUUUGAAGACUCAAGGCAAAGGAGUUCUCUGGAGAGGGAACAGCAUGUGCAAAGUUCCUGAGGUGCAAAUAUGAUUUAUAUGUACAAGAAAUUGAAAAACACUGGUGUAUGGGUGUAUGGGAACUGAGCAGUCACAUGGAACAAACCAACCUGAAUAAAUUUUAUUCUUCAUUCCCAACUCUCUGCUGCACAGGUUGGUAUAAGUGACAACACUGGCAAGGUUAAAUAUUUUGGAUUCAGGUUGGAGUUCCUCAAGACAAAGAUUAGAUCAAAAUCCUAUUUCUGGACUUCUUAGUCUGACUAAUCGUUAGCUGGUGGUUGUUUAAAUAAAGUUUCUCUACCUCUGAUCUAACUUCUUUGCAUUCUAAUCUCUACUUUCCCCCUUUCUAUUCUUCACCCCCUUGGCUUCCAACACAGCUGCAAUGUCCACAAUCCAGGAUCACCUGAGCUGGUUCACACCUGUCUUCCUGCCCUGUCAGAGCUUCUUGAUAGAUGACCUAGCAGGUCAGCUUCCUGAUUGUAGCCUCUCCCUAUGUCUGAGAGCUGUUUGUUUUCACCCUUUGUCUUCCUUCCACUUCUGCCUUCUCUCUCUCUCUGUCUCUAACUCACACUUCUGGCAGCCCUACAUCCAUACUCUGUCUGGUCCAGGCUGCUUCUAGGUACUCAAGGCUUUGAUGGCAGCUUUGUGCCUGGAAUUCACUUCCCCAGCCGGAGAACCAGCCCGAUGGCAACAUUGAAAGAACCGUUAUUGGUUUAGAAGCAAUACUGGCAGCACAUAAGGAAUUGGGGCUGGGACAUCUCUGAAACAACCUGCAUGGUGUUUACCUUCAAACAUUAACCACCCCCUAGGGCACAAGUUUCUGUAGCUCAAUCAAUUCCUUCUCCCAACUCAGCACCUCCUUAUUUCCCAAACCAAGCAACUUCAUAUUUUGUUAUAGAUUUGCAUUAUCUUUAUUUUGUGAAUAUUUAAUGUUUCAUCCCAACAAGAUGUAGAGUUCUUGAAAAGCAAGAACAGUGUCCUGUAUUUGAUUUGUAAAUUUUGUUAGUCUUAAUAGUGUUGUGUGUACAUAUGGUGAGAGCCUAAUAAACACUGGCUGAUUGAUC